UAGGAAACUAAGGGCGUACGGUGGAUGCCUUGACUAGAAGAUGGUGAUGAAGGACGCGGCUUGGCGGCGAUACGCUUCGGGGAGGUGCCUAGCAACCUUUGAUCCGAAGAUGUCCGAAUGGGGAAACCCGUCCCUCACAUGCUUGCAUGUGAGGGACACUCCAGCAAUUAGUUGGAGAAUACACCCAGUGAAGUAAAACAUUUCAGUAACUGGAGGAAAAGAAAACAAUUGUUAUUUCGUUAGUAGCGGCGAGCGAAAACGAAAAAGCCCAAACUCAGUUUCAUUCUUUGCCGAAUUCUUAAGGCCUUGCCUUGGAGGAUUCUAAAGGCAAGACCUUGAGGGCAAAGAAUGAUGCUGGGGGUUGUAAGGCGGAAAUGUCCCGACUUCGGUCGGGAGAAGAGUCAAAAAUUAUCUGGUUAGAAGAAGCUUCUGGAAAGAAGCACCCAAGAGGGUAAUAGUCCCGUAAUCGAAAAUCAGAUAACUCUUUUGUUUCCGUUCUUGAGUACCUCGAGACACGAAUAGCUCGGGGGAAUCUGCCGGAACUAACCGGUAAGGCUAAAUACACUUCUAGAUCGAUAGUGAACUAGUACCGUGAGGGAAAGGUGAAAAGAACCCCGGAAGGGGAGUGAAAUAGACCUGAAACCGUAUGCCUACAAGGAGUCGGAGCGGAUAUUUAUAUCCGUCACGGCGUGCCUAUUGAAGAAUGAGCCAACGAGUUAAUGCAUCGCGCUUGCCUAAGUGCCUAUAAAGCAUGGAGGCGUAGGGAAACCGAGUGCGAAUAGCGCGUUUAUCCUCCGAGCAAUCGAAGGAUUUGUGCGAUGCAUUAGACCCGAAGCCAGAGCGAGCUUGUCAUGAGCAGGGUGAACAGAGCCGAAAGGCUCUGGGAGGCCCGAACGGGUGAGCCGUGCAAUACUCUCCGAUGACUUGUGAUAAGAAGUGAAAAGCUAAUCGAGCCUGGUAAUAGCUGGUUCUCUCCGAAAGAGCUUUUGGGUUCGCGUCGAGUGUUCCUCACAGAGGUAGAGCACUGGAAGGUCUAGACAGGUCGAAAGAUCGCUAGACCUAUCAAACUCCGAAUUCUGUGAAUUAAUAGCUCGGCAGUUAGACUCCGGGGGCUAAGCUCCGGUGGUCAAAAGGGAAACAGCCCUG
rnacentral:rRNA from 1 species